rnacentral:rRNA from 1 species
AGGCGACGAUCCCUAGCUGGUCUGAGAGGAUGAUCAGCCACACUGGAACUGAGACACGGUCCAGACUCCUACGGGAGGCAGCAGUGGGGAAUAUUGCACAAUGGGCGCAAGCCUGAU